ACGAAGGGGGCUAGCGUUGUUCGGAAUCACUGGGCGUAAAGGGCGCGUAGGCGGCUGGUCAAGUCGGGGGUGAAAUCCUGGAGCUCAACUCCAGGACUGCCUUCGAUACUGGAAAGCUCGAGUCCGGGAGAGGUGAGUGGAACUGCGAGUGUAGAGGUGAAAUUCGUAGAUAUUCGCAAGAACACCAGUGGCGAAGGCGGCUCACUGGCCCGGUACUGACGCUGAGGUGCGAAAGCGUGGGGAGCAAACAGG
rnacentral:rRNA from 1 species